CCCCUGCAUUUUACAGCUUGUUUCUAGCAUAAAGCAUUGCGGACUAAAGCGUUGUUAUAGAUCGCUUUAUAAUCCCAUAAUCAUGUCUAUACGAAUGCUGUGAAAUGCUGUGAGAUAUUCCGUGUUCUGAACGAGUACAUAACUGGGCGCCUGGAGACACGGAGUGGAUAGAGGCAUUUGCGAUUUGUUACCGCUAUACUCUCAACUCUGGCGGUCGUGGGUGACGUAGAUAUGGAUCACGUGCGUAAAUUGAUGGGGUCACAUCGGAGCAAAACUACUCAAAUUUGAGGAUUACUUCUCCCCACAAUCUGAUCCACGCCCGGGAAAGCAGUGGAUGAGUAAUCCGUUCACCAGCACUGAAGAGACUUGUCACCGGUUCUUGAGGAUUGGAGAUGUCCUGUGACCAAGGCCUGCGCGCUCGUUUUAAUGAGAUGCGCCUGUCCACAUUCUGGCUGUUCAGCAACUCUGCAAGAUGGGAGAAACUCCCCAAAUACAGAGUUGCCACGGGACUGCAGGUGAAGUGUUCCGUGUUCUGAACGAGUAGGACUACAUAACGGAACAUGGAUUACGGUGGGACCGUUUGUAUCGAUUUCAAGAAAAAGCUGGGCGCCUGGAGAGACCGAGUGAGUGGACAUUUGCGAUUUCAAAUAUCAGUCAUCUCAUCUGUUUUAAUUGCAAACCAAUUUGAUGUGCGGGCUCUGUCUAAAAUCUGUAUGUGAUUCAAUAUCAUCUGCUAUAUCCUGGAUUCUAUGUGUGACAGUGUCAUUGGAAAGUAGGAUUUCACUGAUCUUUGUAGCAGCAGCUGGGCCUAAAACCUCUCGGAAAGCAUCCACGACUGAGGGCAUGACCAGCUUUUAAACUACAGGGAAAGUAGCCUGGCACCUGUAAAUGUUAUGAGAGAGUAAGUAUGAAGCUUUCAGUAAACUCUCGUUAUCUGUGAAAUUAUUGUGCAGCAUUUUUGUUUGGCUGGUCUUACAUAUCACACAGACUGGUUUUGGCAGGCAGCUGUUAUUUUAAACAAAUCCAGGCAGAAAGAAAGAGAGCUUGCAGGUUGUAUAGAAGGGCUAGCUUGUGUGUGUUUGUGUAAGUGUGUGUUUGGUUAACUUGGUCUCAGAGCAUUUUGUGUUAUUCUGUACAAAAAUCUGUAUAUAAAUCCAAG
rnacentral:lncRNA from 1 species